ensembl:ncRNA Y106G6A.9 ncRNA
UGUUUGGAUACGCUGACCGCAAACACUUUUGGAACUCCGCCGACUCGCCCUGGCUUAACUCUUUUUUCUUUUCAGUUUGCGCCCAGAUGUUUCAAGUUUCAAUUGAUACAUAUCAUCUGGCUUUCUGAAAUAAAUGAAUGGAGAGCCGAGUGUCGGAGAUGAAGCUAUGUUGAAAAAAUAUUGUACAGAGCGGCGAAUGGUUUUCCAUGUCUCCAGUACUGUUGUGCACUCAAUUUGUCUCUCUUCAUCUCCUCCACUCGUGUGAAUCUGUUUGAACAGUGGCGCCGCGGCUCGUUUCUCUCCUUCUCUCUCUCUCUCUUUGGGCCCUUUGGGGUAAAAUCAACGAAGAUGAAGAAGAAGCGUGUCGUUUUGUCGGUAGCUAUGCUGCCAGUUCAUCGGCAAAUAAGCAUGCUUGUCCUACAUUAUGUUCUCAUGG